rnacentral:rRNA from 1 species
CCCAAUGCUGCAACUCCUGCAUACCCUCUGGCUGGCAACAUACGCAUACCGCACAGAGCCAACACUGAAGCCACUACAAGCACAAUUGCUCAAAGGCCUCAGAAGCGUCCUCGUUUACUCAAUGACCGAGAGCAUCUGGUGGCUUUGCAUCAAAAGAAGGAUAAGCAUCAUGACUGGCUGAAGCGUCAGAUGCAGAGUCUCUUGGUGGAUGUCAAUCGUAUUCGUAACUUGGCCACCAAAAACACAUUUGUUGCACAUGAAGCCCGUCGGCGGUCCUGGAAGAGCCUCACAUUGCUCUGUUCUGAAGAUGAUCUGCGCGUAGAUGGCUUCACAGAGAACUUCAAGUUUGACUCCAGACCUGUGAUACGUCUCCAACGUAUCUAUAAUUUUUGA